rnacentral:rRNA from 1 species
UCCGUAGGCGGGUUAUUAAGUCAGUGGUGAAAGUUUGCAGCUUAACUGUAAAAUUGCCAUUGAUACUGGUAGCCUUGAAUUUUUGUGAAGUAACUAGAAUAUGUAGUGUAGCGGUGAAAUGCUUAGAUACUACAUGGAAUACCAAUUGCGAAGGCAGGUUACUAACAAACGAUUGACGCUGAUGGACGAAAGCGUGGGUAGCGAACA